GAAGGAAGAGGGAGAGGGAGAGAGAGAGAAUGAAUUAUAUUCCAGGAAUUAAUAGCAGAGAUUCAUCUAUCUUAAAGACUUUAAAAAUACAAAAAUGUAAGAUUCAAAUCAUGCAUCUAUUUCAUUAUCUAGUGUGACUCCUACAAAACUUGGGUUUUUGGAAGAAGAUAACAAACUACUCAAAUUCCAUCCAAUUCUGCACCUGCAGACCUGGGACUAAGAAAACUAGCUGGUGAGGAUGAAGCUUCCAGGACAGGACCAGCCUGAUAUCUCCAUGUCCUAUGACUCAACUAUGCCAUGUCUUCAGCAAUAGGCUUUUAUUGUCAAGUUCCAGGGGUAACAAGAGAAUUGGCGAUAACCUGUAAUAUUUUAGAAUCUGUAAACCCUCACUGACCAACAACUACAUAAGUGGUAACCUAUUCCUGUCAUAGGGUUUUUUAUUUAUUUUGUUAA
rnacentral:lncRNA from 1 species